rnacentral:rRNA from 1 species
UACAGAGGGGGCAAGCGUUGUUCGGAAUUACUGGGCGUAAAGGGCGCGUAGGCGGCCUGCUAAGUCGAAGGUGAAAUCCCUGGGCUCAACCCAGGAACUGCGUCCGAUACUGGUUGGCUUGAAUCCGGGAGAGGGAUGUGGAAUUCCAGGUGUAGCGGUGAAAUGCGUAGAUAUCUGGAGGAACACCGGUGGCGAAGGCGACAUCCUGGACCGGUAUUGACGCUGAGGCGCGAAAGCCAGGGGAGCAAACGGG